rnacentral:lncRNA from 1 species
GGUUAACACGGCGAUCCGGAGCUGCUCAGGUGGACACGUCACAGCUUACCAAGGAAUUCACUUGCAGAGGAGGAGAGGAGAGAGGAAGAAAUGUGAACUCCAUUCCCUUUAAUUGUACUUCAGAAAAAAAGUCUUGUGUUUUUUUUUCCUUUUUAAUUUUUUUUUCUGUUUAAUUUAAUUUAAACCACUAUUGCGUGUCUUUUACUUAAUGCCAUUUGGAUAACGUUUGCCUCUGAGUUAAAGUUUAUAAGUGCGAUUUUACUUGGCUUUUCGUGUAGACCAUAUGGUAAGACUGUGCCAUGGAGUAUUCAAUAAAGUAUGUCGGCCCUUACAACUAAUGCAAUGGUACUCUGUUUGGUAAGUAACAAUAAUAUCUGUUAAGGUGAAUCUAUUCUGUGACCUCUUCCUCUCUUGCUACUACUUUACUUUUCUGAUACUUGUUGUUACUUUAUGUAUGUAUAUAAAUGUAUUUAUUUUAUAUUUUUCUGGGUCAUUUGUUGCAUUUUAAAGGGACACUGUAGACACCCAGGCCACCCCAUCUCAUUGAAGUGGUGUGGGCACAGUGGCAAUGUUACCCACAUGCUUAAUCUCCGUUGUCAAAUACUGCACUUUUCCCAAUUUUGAGUAAACUGGACAGAAUUUGUGUACUGUGAAGCAAAUGUACUUUCAACUGUUGACAGUUAACUGGAGAAUGUGAAUACCUUGUGGCUAAUAUUUAGCUUACCAGUUCACCGAGGGAAAGUAUUUGUCUUGAAUAUAAGACCCAGAUUGUACAGAUUUUUAGACUUCAUUUCUCAAAUGUUAACAGCUUUUUUUUUUUUUUUUUGCUAUCCACUGCCAUCUGUUAAACAGGAAACUACCCCACACAAGAAAUGAUCUACUAUCUCCCAUUCAUUUUAUUUGUAUGUAGAAGAGUUUGAGCUCUCACGAGUGUUUAACAUGUUGCUGAAUAUGUGGUCAGAGAAUUAAGAGGGUCCAGUCCUGUUGAAGCUGUGCUGGGAAGAACUGGUACCAAGAACAGAAGAUACCUUCCUUCUUAGACUGUAAGCUCACUUGAGCAGCACCUUUUGUAAAACCUUUGCUUUUUACAGUAAUUCUGUCUGCCUUUAUUUCUGCAUUGUUGAAUAUGUUGGCAACUUAAUGAAAGUAUAGAAUGGAGAGUAGGCAGCUUAAACCAUAGUCCUAUCAUAAGGAAACUUUGGGUUUUAGUACACAGGGCACACUUGCUUAAUUUGGCAUAUGGUGGGGAAGACCUGUAUGGGAUUUAAGCUUGAGUAUUAAUCUUGUAAUUCUUAUAUAGUGGUCAUUAAGGUCAGCCGUGCUAGUUAUGCAGUCUGUUUUAUUUUCUCUAUCUUUCGUUUCUUUGCAGUUGCAGGAUGAAAACUUCUCGUACCCCAUAGCGCGCACACUUCCCUACACAGCUGCAUGUUUGCUCUUAGUGGCUGGGUAGAGUUUAGACACACUCUGCACAGCAUUGUGUUGGACCAUUAGCAAUGUUGUAUAUUACAAUGCCUUUUUGAUUGAUUUGAAUUCUAGCAUCAAUUAUCAAAUCACUUAUAUCCUACAUCUUUACAUUUUGCUAUUUAGCUAAUUGACCCUGCAGAUUACUACUUUCCUUGUUCACAGUACAGUCCGGCUAUUAAACUGGUUCAUGGAUUGCAGGAUAAAACAUACAAGGAAUGGUUAAAGGAUCUCAACAUGUAUAGCUUGGAGAAAAGACGAGACAGGGGGCAUAUGAUAGAAACAUUUAAAUUCAUAAAGGGAAUCAACCCAGUAACGGAGGAGACUAUAUAUUUAAAAGAAGAAAAACUACCACAAGAGGAGAGAGUCUUAAAUUAGAGGGGCAAAGCUUUAAAAAUAAUAUCUGGAAGUAUUACUUCACUGAGAGAGUAGUGGAUGCAUGGAAUUGGUUUCCAUCUGAAGUGGUAGAGGUUAACACAGUAAAGGAGUAGUUUACGCAUGUGUGGGAUAGGCAUAAGGCUAUCCCAACUAUAAGAUAAGGCCAGGGACUAAUGAAUGUAUUUGGAAAAUUGGGCAGACUAGAUGGACCGAAUAGUUCUUAUCUGCCGUCAUAUUCUCUGUUUCUAAGUGUCCAAUUAAAUGCUCUUCCUGGAAAAGCAGUGUGGUUGCAGUGAGAACAUCUUAAAGCAGAAAAAAAAAACCACAUAAAAAUAAGUUAUUGUAUGUAUGCACACUAAAGCAUGGGUAAGCAACACUUUGCACUCUAGAUGUAAACUGCAUCUAUCAUAAGCUCUUAGAGUUAUAAUGCAGACAAAGAAUCAGGAGAGAUGUAAUCCACAACUUUUGGUGUACUGAAGCUUGCCUAACUGAAUUAAAUGUGCUAUGGUUGCUAUGGAAACUCCCUAGCCACUGCUGCUGGCGUUAGCUAGGGGGUAUAGGUACAGACUGGCAAAUAAGUCAGCAUGCUGAUGUCACUGAGAUUUGCCUUUGGGGGAUAUGUCCCAAGCAGGGUAAUUUAAAGAGUCCAGGUGGAUUGGAGGUGAGUCAUUACAGAUUAAUUUAAAACUUUCUACAAAAAUAUUAUAGGUUAAAUUGGCUCUAAAAUUUAUCCCAAUUCAACUUACGUUUGAGCUUACCAUCUUCAUUAAAUGCUUUUAAUGACUGGAUUAAAAUUUCACUCAACACAGUCAAAAAGUAUCAAAAACAAAGUAAGGAUUACUUUAUAUUAUGGUAAAAUCAUAACUAGAGAGAACUUUAUACUGCAGUCAAGUUUUCACUACCACUCAUAAAAUAUCUAUAACGGCUCCACCAUUGUCUCUGUAUUCUUCAUAGACAUUAGUUUUGCACUCUUGUGCAUGUGAGAUUGCAUCAUUGAUGUGGGCUUCUAGUGCAGGAGUUGAAGAUGUGUAGUGUAGCGCAGCUCCCUGUAUCCUGGCUCUGUACCUCCGCCAAAGAUCGCUUCCUAGUUGGAACCAGGGAGUGCCUCUGUGGCUUGAGUGGUGUACUCCUGGAGUGUCUUCAUCCUGGAACAGGAUUGGGGACUAGCUGUAUUCGCUCCCAGGGACUGAACGACACACAGUCCUGAGAGCUCUAGUCUUUGCAAGGACUUUCCCCGCUGAAUCCUCCACGAGCUGGAACAAGGUGCUGAACAGUGAUAAGCCAUUUCCCCUCCCAGUAACUAGAGGACACAUAGUUCUGGGAGUACAACUGAUUUUAAUGUACAGAUCCCAGAAAUUAGUUCCAUAGCGGUUGUGGCUAAGUACCGCUGUGGACUAUUGAUGGGUUUGGUUCAUGCAAAAGGCCGCCAGGGAGCUAGUGUUCGGUUCCAUUUGAAAGAAGGGAAAGUGUCGAACCAUGGGCACCCAUGGAAAGCUGAUAAUGGCGGCUGGGCAGGGUAACUCGCAAAUGGUGUCUUAGAUCUGGACCAUAGUCGGUGUGCAGGAGGCCAGCUUCCAAACUCCUCCAGGAAUACAUGGGAAGGAGCAUUUGUUACAGGUGGUGCCUCAAUGGACAACUAGUAAUUAUAACUCCCUGAAACUGCACCCUUGGCCCUCCGCACCUUGAGAGACAAUGUAACAAUUGGCUGGUUUUUUUUGUGCUAAAUAUGCAAAGUCUCUGACAGGUGACAAUUGCUUUAAGUCAUAAACUGCAAACAUUUGAGCAGUGAGAUGGCAAGGUAAUGAUCAAUAUAAAAAAAAAAAGUAUAAUGAAAUCCGUUAUUUAGCACUCAGAGCAGGGGUACAAGCAGGGGUAUUUCUCUCUCUUUUCUAUCAUUAUGGCUGUAAGAGCAUUAUAGGAGAUGUAAUCCACAACAGCUGGAGUGCCAAAUGUCCCCUUCCUCAGGUUUAGUGUCCCUUUUAACUUUUUCUUUUUCAAAUAAGGAAAACAAAGUUUAUUUGUGUCUCAAAUAGUAGAGCUUUAAAUUACAUCUGAUUACUUGUUCUCUCGAUAACUAAUAAAGCAUUUGUCAUACCUUCAAGACAAUAUGCUAAGUGAACCAUUCCUUGAAAUAAGUACAAAAUACAAAUUAGUAUGGACUCUACCAAAAAGCAAAACCUUAAAUUUGGUUACAGGAGCAAAUAGUCUCAUUGACUAGAUGUAACAGUCCCAAGGGAAAAUAACUGCAGAUAAGCUAAAUUAAUUCAUGCAAACAUUACAAAGCGAUGCUGUUCAAUGUUUAGCCUUAGGAAAUAAAUAUAAAAGAUGUAGUUUAACAGUUCAGUCAAGAAAAAUUGUAUUUAAAAUAGAAGGCAUAUGUGACAGCAGGAUGAUUUAUAAAGUAGAAAGAUGACAACAGGUCUUGCAAAACUGCAAUUACCUUGGCUAAUUAAAAAAAUGAGCGCAUGGGAAAUCCCAAAUUACUUUGGGAAGUGAUCAAAGUACUUUGAUAAAAAGAAAAAUGCUGGUCCAAUAAAACAAGAAAAAUGCAAAGUAGUUAAAAUGGAUCAGAAGAAGCCGGGUAAUUAAUGUCUCAGUUGGAAGAGUUGAUUGAUUCUAAUUUACAAUCUUAGUAAAAUUGAAAAUAAAGUUAACACCCCUUCGGGCUGGCUGUGGACUUUGACAUAAAAUUGUUGUCUUCUUCUUUGCUCUCUUUUACCUUGGCACCUCUCUUCUCCCUGCACUUUUUCUCUUUAUGCUUGAAUGCUUUUACA